rnacentral:rRNA from 1 species
GUUGUAUGGUUAAGUGAUUAAGCGUACACGGUGGAUGCCUAGGCAGUUGGAGGCGAUGAAGGACGUACUAACUUGCGAUAAGCCAUGAUGAGCCAGUAAGAGGCGCAUGAGUCAUGGAUUUCCGAAUGGGGAAACCCAGUGUGCUUGCACACUAUCCUGCACUGAAUACAUAGGUGUAGGAGGCGAACGAGGGGAACUGAAACAUCUAAGUACCCUUAGGAACAGAAAUCAACCGAGAUUCCCUUAGUAGCGGCGAGCGAACGGGGAGCAGCCCUUAAGCUGCAUCAGAUUUAGUGGAAGGCUCUGGAAAGUGCCACGAUAGAGGGUGAUAGUCCCGUACACGACGAAUCUUUUGCAGUGAAAACGAGUAGGUCGGGACACGUGUUAUCUUGACUGAAUAUGGGGGGACCAUCCUCCAAGGCUAAAUACUCCCAACUGACCGAUAGUGAACCAGUACCGUGAGGGAAAGGCGAAAAGAACCCCUGUGAGGGGAGUGAAAUAGAACCUGAAACCGUGUACGUACAAGCAGUAGGAGC